rnacentral:rRNA from 1 species
CUUUACUGACGCUAAAGCUCGAAGGUGCGGGUAUCGAACAGGAUUAGAUACCCUGGUAGUCCGCACGGUAAACGAUGGAUGCCCGCUGUUUGCGAUAUAUUGUGAGCGGCCAAGCGAAAGCGUUAAGCAUCCCACCUGGGGAGUACGCCGGCAACGGUGAAACUCAAAGGAAUUGACGGGGGCCCGCACAAGCGGAGGAACAUGUGGUUUAAUUCGAUGAUACGCGAGGAACCUUACCCGGGCUUGAACUGCAGCAGAACGAUUGAGAGAUCAUGAGGUCCUUCGGGACUGCUGUGGAGGUGCUGCAUGGUUGUCGUCAGCUCGUGCCGUGAGGUGUCGGCUUAAGUGCCAUAACGAGCGCAACCCCUCUCUUCAGUUGCCAUCAGGUAGGGCUGGGCACUCUGGAGACACUGCCACCGUAAGGUGUGAGGAAGGUGGGGAUGACGUCAAAUCAGCACGGCCCUUACGUCCGGGGCUACACACGUGUUACAAUGGGUGGUACAGAGCGUCGGCGGCCUGCAAAGUCCGUCCAAUCGCAAAAUCCAUCCUCAGUUCGGACUGGGGUCUGCAACCCGACCCCACGAAGCUGGAUUCGCUAGUA